rnacentral:rRNA from 1 species
ACGCGUGAGGAACCUGCCUUGGAGAGGGGGAAUAACACUCCGAAAGGAGUGCUAAUACCGCAUGAUGCAGUUGGGUCGCAUGGCUCUGACUGCCAAAGAUUUAUCGCUCUGAGAUGGCCUCGCGUCUGAUUAGCUAGUAGGCGGGGUAACGGCCCACCUAGGCGACGAUCAGUAGCCGGACUGAGAGGUUGACCGGCCACAUUGGGACUGAGAUACGGCCCAGACUCCUACGGGAGGCAGCAUG